GGGGAAUUAGCGCAGAUGGUAGCGCGCGUGCUUUGCAUGCAUGAGGUCCCGGGAUCGAUGCCCGGAUUCUCCA